GUGCUUCUGAGCUAGCUUUUUCAUGCUUUGCUCCUCUAGUUUGCUCUCAUUUUUCUAUCAGUGCAUUCAUUUCAAGGGAUGUUAUAUCGGUACAGGUACUACGUCUAAUUCUUCAAAAUGAGCUAAAUAUUAGUAAAAAACAGCACAUACCAUACUGUAUACUUGGACACAACUAAUAUCAGGAAGGUACCCUUAAAUGAGUCCAUGUAACAUAGGCCAAUACUAGUUUAGUCCCGUUCAUUAAAAUUGUCCUCUAUUUGGUGUUUUGUCUUCCAAUAUUCUGUACAUGCGGUGAAGUUAAUGCAAACUUUGUCUCUUAACUUAUCUGACCAAACAAUUGACUUGUCAUUUUAAUUUUGUACAUAAGAAAUGAAUAAAGCAUUUGCUGGUUGUAUACUUGUUUUCACCAACAUGAACUUGACCUGGCAUUGAGGUAAUAAUUUCUCUUCACUUUUAUAUAAUUGAGGUUCUUUGUUCCAAGUCUAGACUAGUUAUUAGUGUUAAUAGAAGAAAGUGCAUCUCUUUGUUUACCUGAACUUGGAGAUUAGUUGCUCAUUUUGUGGGUUGCUCUUAUCUUGUGAGUAAUAUGUUGGCAUGGGAGAAGAUCAGAGCAAUUAAAUUGUUUCAGCAUCAAGUCCGAAGCAGCCUUAGAUUAUGUUUUUCUGACCAGAAAUCCCAUUAGGUCAAGUUUUCUUCUUUAUAUGAUAAGUCAAGUUCACUUCACUAAUAACACCUCAAGAUGAUGUCCAAAGAUUUACGAAGUGAGUGAGUGGCUAAAUAACAUUUAUCAAUCAAGUUUACAAUCUAGGGAUGAAGGUACUCAUUCUUUACCUAAAAUAAGAAGGGAAUAAAAAGGAUUUUAAUACAUUUGGAAUAAUUUCCUACUAUUCUCAUUACAAAUUGUCAAAAGCACACAAUGUUAUGGUCUUCCAAAUUUCUGUGUUCUCCUUGCUAAAUCUCUGCCAUCUCCAUUUGGUUAUUGUCUCCUUCACCAUUCUUGUAACACCCAAGCCAUCUCACAGAUAGAGUUUGAGAUUCCAAUUUGUUCAAGUUCUUAACCUAUAGGAACUGAAAUUUUCUUCUGAUCAGAGAUUUCAAGUGACAAUCUAUGUUAAGCAAGAGGGACCAUUAGUUAUGUUGGAUGCAUUCAGAUUAAUGGACCAAAAUUGUCCCUUUUAUUUGGCUUUAGACUCGAAAUUAUCCUUCUUAUUUACUGUGGAACACUAAUAGUCCUCCUUUGCCAAAUUGGUGCACUUCCAGUCCACCCCAAACGUCUGUCUCCUGAUUUAACUUGAAGGUUGUACUCGUACAGAUAAUGCGCAACAUUUUUUAUCAGUGAAAGUGAAAAAAAAAUGUCUUGCUGCUCUGUUUUCGCAUCAAAUCCAUCUGAAGCCUACUUUGGAAAAAUCCCCAAACCAAAAGGUGUUUAUUUUUAAGAACAUAGGAGAAAAGAGCAUAUGGAGAUCGUUGAGAAGCUGAAAGAGAAAGAAGAAAAGAUGAUGGCACAAGAGGAAGUUCAGACUGAGAAACAUAAAGGGGUAAAAAGAGGAUCAAAUUGUCUUGCCAGAGUUCAUUCGGUUACUAAGUUCAUGCUUGCUUUGUUGUAACAAUAAGAUGGAAGUUGAAUGGAA